CACCCGCUGCCGCACUCCGCCGGAACCUUCUGGUUGUUCACUCCUGCUUCCCCGCCCCCUUCCCACUGAGAGGAGCGGAAGACACCAAAGGGAGAGGCUGGAAUUAUAGGAAAUCUGUAGGCAUCCUGAUCUGAUCCUAUCCUGCGCAGCUGAGGUGGUGUUGUGAGGUGCCUUCAUCGUCAGGCGACGAUUCCCGGUGCUUUACUGAUAGCGAAAAGGAAGCUAAUUCCCCAUGAGCUAACUCCCUCAGCCAGUGCCCCAGCGCUGAAUCGACCGCCGAGGCUGGCAGCAGAAAGGGGCAGAGAUGGUGCCAUCCCAUGCCAGUCCGCUGGUCCGGACCUCCUCCCUUGAAGCGGUACUGGGUGUUGCUCUAUCAGGGGUUGAGCCUGGUCCUCAUCAGCAAGGAAGAUCUGCUGUCCUCAGCCACCAAAAAUGGCCCAGUGACCAGUGAUUUUCCCCAUCAAGGAAUGAACUCCACAAGACCUCUGAAGGUGUCCUGUGGUAUAUGAAGAUAUUAGCAGCAGAUACUUCAAGUCCUCACGUCCCACAGAUGCUCGAUCAGCUUGAGAUCUGGGGAAUUUGAAGACCAAGUCAAUCUUGAACUUUUUUUCAUGUCCCUCAAACCAUUCUUGAGUGAUGGGCGCAUUAUCCUGCUGAAAGAGGCCACUGCCUUCAGGGAAUACCAUUGAGUUUGGUAUAGCAGGGGUGUAUUUGGUCGGCAACAAAGUUUACGUAGAUGGUAUGUCUCAAAGCAACAUACACAUGAAUGCCUGAACCCGAGCAGAAGAUUGCCCAGAGUAUCACACUGCCUCUGCCACCUUGCUGUCUUCCCAUAGUGCAUCCUGGUGCCAUCUCUGCCCCAGUUCAGGGUCCCUGUAGACCAAGGCCUCACUCAGGCCUGUGAAAUAUGAGCAGUGGGAGAGCCAUGGAGCAUCUUCCGGACAGGGAGGCAGCCGAGCUGGGCAGCAGACAGGCCAGACAGGGGUCCGGGGAGCCACCCAGGACCAUACACACAGAAUGCAAGGUAAAGCUGUGAACUUCCACCCUGGAGGUUGCUGGUUUCAGUCCUGGCCUGGGGUUUGUGUAGCUCAGAGCAGGAUCCUUGAAUCUGUAAAGUAAAAAAAAUCAGCUGCAUAAAUGGGAAAGAGCAAGGAAAGGAAUGUAAAUAAACAAAAAAAAUGCCAAAAUAUAACUCAGCGCUGCCUUCCAUUUUGCAAAAAUGCUACUUGCUUAAAGGACUGUUGGUCAGAUUGUUUUUUUGUUUUUGCCCACUGAUGUCUUUGAUGGUGUGGGACAGUUUGGGAUGGACAGUCAUGCUGAUCCCCACCCGGCAAGGUUUUACGCAGCAGGAGCAGACGCGUGUCUCCAGCGUCUAAUGAGUGUGGCUCAUCUUCACGCCCUUAAAGGGCCGUAGCUGGAACCCCAGUGAACCCCAGUGAACCCCAGAACCCCAGGCAGGUCUAAUGAAAAGGCCACUUCACCACCUACCUACUUAAAACUGACUGAAGUAAAUCCACACUUAUGCAAAAAAAAAUCCAAGAUGCGUAGAUCUUAUGGAAGCGCAAACGCAAUAAUGCAGCCUACGACAUAUGCGAGCCAUCUGAAGCUGGGCUGUACGCUGCAAAGGCAACAUCUUGCAGAUUCCCAGUUCUCCUGGCUUGUAGUGAACAUCCAAUAGAAGGUGAGAGUGAAACAGCUCUUAAGCUCACAGCGAUGAUUCAGCAUUAAAAAUCAGUAAGUAUUACUAAGAUAUAUUUGGCGUAUGCUUUAUAUGCUGUGAGGUGUCUUGAAUGCUAUGGGAAGGUAAAUAUGACUUACGGAAAUCUGACUAACACAAUGGUUUGUGGGAGGAAUGAGGCCAGUCAAGAUAUGCUCAUACUGUAAGACAGAAAGAGGAGAGACUCAGACCUGAACCGUAGAUUACGCCCCCUUAAUGUGCACAAGCUCGAUCAUGUUCGGGACCAGGUCCAGAGAUGUGCUCAGCACCUCACCUCAGGAGAUGUGUCCUCCACAUCUUAGGCAGGACCUGGAGAAGAGCAAAGAGCCUAAUUUGUCAUCCCUGUGUUGAGAAGGGCUGAUCCUGAGCCGCUCCUCUUCAUGUGGGCACGGCUUUUAUCAACAAAGGAGACAGGCGCAGGAGCAACAGAAACGGACCAUCUGGCCUACAUCAGCAGAUAAAGCCCACCCCUCUGCAACCAACAGACCUGUGACCUCCUGAAAAUCAAGACAAAAAGCCACAAAAACACAAAACCAGCUCACACAACAUAAGACUUUACAGGAAAGGCUUUAAGGCCUACAUCUAUAAAGCCUUUUCUGUUUAAUUUAUCAUUUAUUCAUUUUUUAUGUAUGGGACAUUAAUCGGAUUUGUGAAAUUAUGGUAUUCCAUAUUACACAUUUAAAAAAAAUUAAAUAUACUCCAGGCACACAGUGAAAAAAAACUGCAGCACUUGACGGACCGAGGCAUCGCCACAGCAGAGAGGGACAAGGAGACUAUAACAGGCACCCAAGGAGCACCGAACCAAAUACACACAGUUGAAACACAAGACGGCGAACUGCAAGAUGCACGCACGGUGGGAGAUUUACGCAAGCUAAAUACAGGCAAGGAUCGGACCGGGUACACAGGCAAACACACGCGCAACAACAGGGAAAUGCAACCAUUA